rnacentral:sRNA from 1 species
AUGUACCACUCGUACACUCCGGUUCCUUCGCGCGUCCACCCAUCUCACGGCUGCUCGCUGCGUUUUGUUAGCC